rnacentral:rRNA from 1 species
UACAGAGGGUGCGAGCGUUGUUCGGAAUUACUGGGCUUAAAGCGCACGUAGGCGGCAUCGUAAGUGUCCGGUGAAAUCCCACGGCUCACCCGUGGAACUGCCUGGCAGACUGCGAUGCUCGAGUGUGGUAGGGGAGAGCGGAACUCCUGGUGGAGCGGUGAAAUGCGUAGAUAUCAGGAGGAACACCGGUGGCGAAGGCGGCUCUCUGGUCCACAACUGACGCUGAGGUGCGAAAGCUAGGGGAGCAAACGGG